UAGUUAAACCCAGUAAGCUCAGCUUUGCAAGUCUAGUAUUAGGCGGUUUAGUCUUUCUGCAUCAUGCUCAGUUUGCACAAACUCUGUCUCCUGAGUAUUCUAAUAACUGGGUCUCAAGCUCAGCACACAGUGACACAGGAUCCCACAGUGACAACAUCACCUGAAAACAAUGUCAGAAUAUCCUGUCACCUAGGAGGGGGUCUGUCUGUCAGUGGUAAUGGUGUGACAUUUUACCAACAAACUGAUGGAAACAAACCCAGGUACCUCAUGUACUACAGCAGUGAAUCCAUCCAAAAGAGAGGAGAUGGGGUUCCAUCCCGUUUUGUAGUAUCAGGUUCUGAAAAUACAGGUUAUUUGAACAUCAAUGGAGUGCAGGUAGAGGAUGAUGCUGUGUAUUAUUGUCUAACAUGGACUGGGAGCCAGUAUCACAGUAUUACAGAAUAUGAGGAAGUACCACAAAUACAAAUAAUUUAAGAAGAGGUGUAUGUAUUGUUUGACAGUUGCCUAUUGAAGAAAAAGUUAGCUCUGCACAAGGGUUUUAGUUUUCUACCCAGUUACCAGGUUACUCUUAGCAUUUGCUUAGUUAAGACCAGAGUACCUGCAUACCUGGGUACACCUCAGACACACUUUUUGGAUAAAUAUAGGGUCAUUGUGUGCCUUGCCCCACCGUUUUAUUCUCACUCAAAAUCUGGAAGAGUAGAGCCCUUUACAUACGAUAGGUUAACCAGAGGACAACGGUCUGAAGGACCGUUGUCUUAGGUUAACCGAUGAAGCUGAC